rnacentral:rRNA from 1 species
CCUACGGGUGGCUGCAGUGGGGAAUAUUGGGCAAUGGGCGCAAGCCUGACCCAGCAACGCCGCGUGAAGGAAGAAGGCUUUCGGGUUGUAAACUUCUUUUGUCAGGGACGAAGCAAGUGACGGUACCUGACGAAUAAGCCACGGCUAACUACGUGCCAGCAGCAGCGGUAAUACGUAGGUGGCAAGCGUUGACCGGAUUUACUGGGGGUAAAGGGCGUGUAGCCGGGUUGACAAGUCAGAUGUGAAAUCCUGCGGCUUAACCGCAGAACUGCAUUUGAAACUGUUGAUCGUGAGUACUGGAGAGGCAGACGGAAUUCCUAGUGUAGCGGUGAAAUGCGUAGAUAUUAGGAGGAACACCAGUGGCGAAGGCGGUCUGCUGGACAGCAACUGACGGUGAGGCGCGAAAGCGUGGGGAGCAAACAGGAUUAGAUACCCUAGUAGUC